AUUGAACGCUGGCGGCAUGCUUUACACAUGCAAGUCGAACGGUAACAGGCCGCAAGGUGCUGACGAGUGGCGAACGGGUGAGUAAUGCAUCGGAACGUGCCCAGUCGUGGGGGAUAACGCAGCGAAAGCUGCGCUAAUACCGCAUACGAUCUAUGGAUGAAAGCGGGGGACCGUAAGGCCUCGCGCGAUUGGAGCGGCCGAUGUCAGAUUAGGUAGUUGGUGGGGUAAAGGCUCACCAAGCCAACGAUCUGUAGCUGGUCUGAGAGGACGACCAGGCACACUGGGACUGAGACACGGCCCAGACUCCUACGGGAGGCAGCAGUGGGGAAUUUUGGACAAUGGGCGCAAGCCUGAUCCAGCAAUGCCGCGUGCAGGAAGAAGGCCUUCGGGUUGUAAACUGCUUUUGUACGGAACGAAACGGCUCUGGUUAAUACCUGGGGCUAAUGACGGUACCGUAAGAAUAAGCACCGGCUAACUACGUGCCAGCAGCCGCGGUAA
rnacentral:rRNA from 1 species